CCCGCCCCGCGCUUCCGGGCCUGCGCAGCGGUCUGCGGCCACGUGUGUCCGGGCCCCCUAGAGCCGCCGCAAUGAAGCCGAGAAAAAAUAAAAAACGAGUCCCAAGCUUUCGCAAGUUGCUGAAAACUAGUAAAGUAAAACUUGACAACAAGUUAAAGAAUAAACAGUUUAAGCAGCAGAGCAUUGCUAAGAAAUAUCGAAAAGAGCAAAGAAAACUUAGGCAAGCUGUCAAAGAUGUUACAUCCAGAACAUCUGUUCCAUUGGAGGAAUUCAAGAAAAAACAUGCAGCUGAAAGAAAGGAGGAAGAGGAGGAAGAGGAAGCUCUUCCACUGGAUAUGAUGGAUGAAGAUGACCUGAAAUUAAUGGAAGAUUUAGCUCAAAAAGCAUCAUUUGUAACAAGAGACCUUUCUUCUAGUGAACCUGUUCAUGCUAAGAAACGAAAACAGGAAAGCGUGAUUGACAGAUAUGAGAAAAUGCCAAGGUGCAUGCAGACUGAGCCAGAAAAAGAACUUAUUCACCUGCUUCCUAUCAAAGAUAAAAGUGGCAUUAUUCCACAAACAAUGGAAAAGCCAGUCAUCAAUGUUGCACAGAAUGAAGAGGAGGAAGAUACAGAAGAAAUGGAGGUGGUAGAAGAAUCUAGUGAAGAACCCCAGCCGGUGCUCACUACAGAUGAACUGCUAAUUCAAAGGAGAAGGAAGCUGCAGGAGAAGAAGAUACACAUUGCAGCCUUAGCAGCUGCCAUUCUGUCUGACCCAGAAAACAGCAUAAAGAAGCUGAAAGAGUUGCGUGCCAUGCUAAUGGAACAAGACCCCAAUGUGGCUGUGAUUGUUCGGAAGCUGGUGAUGGUAUCUCUGAUGGAACUAUUCAAAGAUAUUACUCCUUCUUACAAAAUUCGGCCUCUGACUGAAGCAGAAAAACAUACCAAGGUUAGAAAAGAAACUCAGAAACUAAGGGAGUUUGAAGAAGGCCUUGUGAGCCAGUACAAGUUUUACCUGGAAAAUCUGGAACAAACAGUUAAAGACUGGAAGCAGAGGAAGCUGAAGAAAAGUAACGUGAUCUCGUUAAAAGCAUAUAAAGGUCUGGCAGAGAUUGCAGUCAAGUGUCUGUGUGAGCUUCUUGUGGUGCUGCCUCACUUCAAUUUCCACAAUAACAUCAUUGUCCUGAUUGUACCUCUCAUGAAUGACACAUCAAAAUUGAUUUCUGAAAUGUGUUGUGAAGCUGUAAAGAAGCUCUUUAAACAAGACAAACUGGGCUCUGUUUCUCUGGGUGUCGUUAAGGUGAUUUCUGGCCUUGUAAAGAGCAGAAAUUAUGAUGUUAGACCUGAGGUGCUAAAGAUAUUCCUUCAUCUACGAAUUAAAGAAGUAGAAGUAAAAAAAGACACAGAAGACAUUACUGCAAAGAAAAAGUUCAUGUCCUGUAAGGAGAAAAGGAAAAAUCUUUCAAGGAUGCAAAGAAAGUGGAAGAAAGCAGAAGAGAAGCUGGAACGAGAACUCCUGGAAGCAGAAGCCUCAGAGAGUAAAGAAAAAAAACUGAAACUGCACACAGAGACUCUGAAUAUUGUAUUUUUAACUUACUUCAGAAUACUGAAGAAAGUACAGAAAUCCCCUCUUUUGCCUGCGGUACUGGAAGGUCUUGCAAAGUUUGCUCAUCUCAUAAAUGUAGAAUUUUUUGAUGACCUGUUGGUUGUUCUACAUUCUCUCAUUGCAUCUGGGGAUCUAAGCUAUCGGGAGAGCCUUCACUGCGUUCUCACUGCUUUUCAUAUUCUGUCUGGCCAAGGUGAUGUUCUUAACAUUGACCCUUCGAAGUUCUACAGUCACCUUUACAGGACACUAUUUAGGCUACAUGCAGGUGCUACGAAUGAUGACAUGGUGAUAGUGCUUCAGUGCCUGGAUGUAAUGCUUACCAAACGUAGGAAACAGGUUUCCCAGCAACGAGCCCUGGCUUUCAUAAAGCGACUUUCCACACUUGCUCUCCAUGUCCUUCCAAAUUCCAGUAUUGGGAUCUUGGCAACCAACAGAAUAUUGAUGCAAACAUUCCCAAAAACAGACCUCCUGCUAGACAAUGAGGCUCAAGGUAGUGGACUUUAUCUCCCAGAACUGGAUGAGCCAGAGUGUUGCAAUGCUCAGAACACAGCUCUGUGGGAAUUACAUGCACUACGGAGACACUAUCAUCCAACAGUGCAGAAAUUUGCAGAUCACCUUAUUGCUGGAGCUCCAGCUGAAGGUUCAGAAGCUCUCAGACCAGAUCUGAGCCGAAGGUCUGGCACAGAACUUUUUGAGACAUAUAAUAUGAAAGGAAUGACUUUUAAUCCUCCUGUAGCAUCUGUUACGCCUAGAAAAAAGGAUAAAUUUUUACAAGGGGAUUCAUUUCUAAAUGAAGAUUUAAAGGAAUUGAUUCAGACACAUCUCAAUGAUGCUGCUGUUCACCGACCCUUGGAUUUUGCUAAACACUUAAAGGAAUCAUCCCUAUCAUAAGUCCACAGAUCAGAUCUGUAUGAUGGCCUUCAGCCUGAACUGCCAGGGAGGCAGACCCACAGCUGUCCAUCUAUCAAACCCAUUAAUAUAGAUCUGUGGACUUGUAUUCUUGAAGAAAGGAAACCUAUUUUGCAGAUGUGAAGAUAUUUGGGAAGAAAGGAAUCUCUCUUUCAAAUGCUGGCAAGCGUCUUUCCAAACAUUAGAAACUGUAACAUCCCACUCAGCAUUACUAGAUCUGUAUCUGUCACCAAGAAGCACAGUCUGGAAUAGGCCAAGCUAGUGCUGAAUAGUUUAGGCCUCAGCAGUUUCCUUCAUGGAGAAUGCAGAAAGAUAUCUUAAAUCAGGAAUCCGUGAUGUUGGUUCCAGUUAUCAAGUAAAUGCAAGGCUAUGUGGAGAAAGAUUGUCAUAUUUCUUCUAUCUCCCUGUGUUUUUGUCAGCCUCAGAAGAGCUUUUUGCCUUUGCCAUUUUAAGGCCUUUAAAGUCACCUGGAAAGGGGAAGAGAUGAUGAUAGCAUUUAAAUUCAAAUACAAGAGUAUAGAUGGGUGCCUGCAUACCAUGAAAUACAUUUUUAAGGAAUUUUGUAACAAAAUAUUAUUGGCAGCCUUAUUACUUGAAUUCUGAUGAAGUGACACAGUAGAUAUAAAUAGUAUCUUGAUCAUUGAGAAUGAGUGGAAAGGAAAUACAGAAAUGUAUCACUGCUCCAUGUGAUAUGGGAUUAUUAAGAAUUGUUUGGGCAAGAUUUUCUUCCAUGUUAAGUAGCUGGGACCUUUCAGAAAACAUCUUUUGGAGUUAGUGUAGGCCCAGUGCUAAUAGUAAUGUGUCUGGACCUAUCAUCUGUCAUAUACAUAAAUGGUACACUGUCACCUUGGAUUCUGCAUUUGGUUUUGUCACUUUAGCUCAAGCAAGCUAGAAGAAAUUUAAAAGAUUGAGAAAGGGACAAAAUAAAAUUCUUAGACACUCUGCCACAAGUAUUUCUAUACAGAGAUUUAAAAAGAGUUUAUGUAUGGAGAGAGGAGUAAGAGAUCAUAUUUUUUAAACUGAUUAUAAAUUAAUGUUUAGUAAAGUUCAGCUGUCCCAUAACACAAAAUGACGGCAUCUCUUAAUUAAGAGCCUGUGUGGAAGUACCAGUUAGCACACUGCAUUACCGGUGGAACUCACUGUCACAGUGUAUGUUGAAGCCAAGUUACAUUCUAAGAGUCUUUUAAAAGGACUGGCCAUUGUCAGGUUACCUGCUGUGAUGGACCCUAGGACGAUGCAGGCAUAGUAGGCAAAGUAAAACUCCUAUGUUCCUAGCAAUUUUCACAGUAUUUAGAUUUGCAUUUAUCUUUAGGCUUUCAUUGGACUGCCUGUGUAUAGGUUUGUGCCAGUACAGAGUUAUAACCUAAAAGCGUAGAGCAUUUUCAUGAACUAUUCUGGCUGCUUGUUGUACUUCACUAUGGUUUACCAAGCACACUUUUGAAAAAAAAAAAAUGAUAAAUUGUACCUUGAAAAAUCAAGAGAG